UACGUAGGUGGCAAGCGUUUGUCCGGAAUUAUUGGGCGUAAAGCGCGCGCAGGCGGUCCUUUAAGUCUGAUGUGAAAGCCCACGGCUCGACCGUGGAGGGUCAUUGGAAACUGGGGGGACUUGAGUGCAGGAGAGAAGAGUGGAAUUCCACGUGUAGCGGUGAAAUGCGUAGAUAUCGGGAGGAACACCAGUGGCGAAGGCGACUUCCUGGCCUGUUCUUGACGCUGAGGCGCGAAAGCUAGGGGAGCAAACGGG
rnacentral:rRNA from 1 species